UAGUAACGGCGAAGUGAAGCGGGAAGAGCUCAAGCUUAAAAUCUCCGUGCAAGUUUUGCGCGGCGAAUUGUAGUCUAUAGAGGCGUGGUCAGCGCGGGCGCUUGGGGCAAGUUCCUUGGAAGAGGACAGCAUGGAGGGUGAUACUCCCGUUCAUCCCUGAGCGGCUCGUGCGUACGACCCGUUUUCUUUGAGUCGCGUUGUUUGGGAAUGCAGCGCAAAGUAGGUGGUAAAUUCCAUCUAAAGCUAAAUAUUGGUGCGAGACCGAUAGCGAACAAGUACCGUGAGGGAAAGAUGAAAAGAACUUUGAAAAGAGAGUUAAAGAGUACCUGAAACUGCUGAAAGGGAACCGAAUCGUUUCCAGUGUCUAUAAUCCGUGGCAUAUUUCAUUGGCGAAUGUUUGCGUGCGUGUGCUAUGGCAGUGGCUUUUUUGGCUGCGCCUGGCGUGUGUGCUGUGAGUGUUUGCUGGUGCCCUGUGCUGCGGUGGGACGUCAAGGUCAGUUCGUAUGCUGCGGGAAAUGGCUGCCGAGGAGGUAGGGCUUACGCUCCGCGUUUGUCUGUUAUAUCUUGGUGGACGAGUCGUCGCGGUUGGGACUGAGGUGCCUACAACGUGCUUUUGAGUGGGUUUGUGUCUCCGUGUGCGCCGUGUGCGGAUAGCUUGCUAUGCGUGUGUGGUUGUGUGCGGAUUGAUGCAGGCUUUAACUUGUCGCCGUUC
rnacentral:rRNA from 1 species